AUAACCUAUCUACCCUAUUGAACCCAAGGGUGCAGUUCAGCUUUCCAAUGGUCUUGGACAAGUUCAUCAUUAAUGUGACCUCAAAUCAGGUAGGACUACCCGCUGAACUUAAGCAUAUCAAUAAGCGGAGGAAAAGAACUAACAAGGAUUCCCCUAGUAACUGCGAGUGAAGCGGGAAAAGCUCAAAUUUAAAAUCUGGCAGUCUUUUGGCUGUCCGAGUUGUAAUCUAGAGAAGUGUUAUCCGUGCUGGACCGUGUACAAGUCUCCUGGAAUGGAGCAUCAUAGAGGGUGAGAAUCCCGUCUUUGACAUGGACUGCCAGUGCUUUGCGAUGCGCUCUCAAAGAGUCGAGUUGUUUGGGAAUGCAGCUCAAAAUGGGUGGUAAAUUCCAUCUAAAGCUAAAUAUUGGCGAGAGACCGAUAGCGAACAAGUACCGUGAGGGAAAGAUGAAAAGAACUUUGGAAAGAGAGUUAAACAGUACGUGAAAUUGCUGAAAGGGAAACGCUUGAAGUCAGUCGCGUUGUCUGGGGAUCAACCUUGCUUUUGCUUGGUGCACUUCCUGGUUCGACGGGUCAGCAUCAAUUUUGACUGUUGGAAAAAGGCUAAGGGAAUGUGGCAUCUUUGGAUGUGUUAUAGCCCUUGGUCACAUACAAUGGUUGGGAUUGAGGAACUCAGCAUGCCGCAAGGCCGGGUUUUAAACCACGUACGUGCUUAGGAUGUUGGCAAUAUGGCUUUAAUCGACCCGC
rnacentral:rRNA from 1 species